UGGUCUUCCAGUUGCGACAUCUGCCAACUCACUGCUCACCAGAGUUGUUUUGGCUGAUGUGACUGGCCAGCAGGUAUCCUCUUGCUGCUUCAAAAGUCAAUACGUGUCAUUCUAGAAGAGAGACCACUUUUCAGAUAGGGGAAGACAUUUCUUCAGUCAAGAGAAGAGGACUUGCUGUCACCAGCAGCGAAUCCAAGCCAUCAAUAGGUUCCCAUAAUUUCCUGGUGAGAAGGCAAAAUUCCAGUUUAA
rnacentral:snRNA from 1 species